rnacentral:rRNA from 1 species
GACGUAGGGCGCGAGCGUUGUCCGGAUUUAUUGGGCGUAAAGAGCUCGUAGGCGGCUUGUCGCGUCGACUGUGAAAACCCGUGGCUCAACCAUGUGGUCUGCAGUCGAUACGGGCAGGCUAGAAUUCGGUAGGGGAGACUGGAAUUCCUGGUGUAGCGGUGAAAUGCGCAGAUAUCAGGAGGAACACCGGUAGCGAAGGCGGGUCUCUGGGCCGAUAUUGACGCUGAGGAGCGAAAGCGUGGGGAGCGAACAGG